GGUCUCGUAACUCAACUGAAUAGAGUAUGGGUUUUCUAAACCCACAGUUACAGGUUUGAAUCCUGUCGAGAUCA
rnacentral:tRNA from 1 species